rnacentral:rRNA from 1 species
UACGGGGGGGGCAAGCGUUGUUCGGAAUUACUGGGCGUAAAGGGCUCGUAGGCGGCCAACUAAGUCGGAUGUGAAAUCCCCAGGCUUAACCUGGGAACUGCGUCUGAUACUGGAUGGCUUGAAUUCGGGAGAGGGAUGCAGAAUUCCAGGUGUAGCGGUGAAAUGCGUAGAUAUCUGGAGGAAUACCGGUGGCGAAGGCGGCAUCCUGGACCGACAUUGACGCUGAGGAGCGAAAGCUAGGGGAGCAAACGGG